UACGGGGGGGGCAAGCGUUGUUCGGAAUUACUGGGCGUAAAGGGCUCGUAGGCGGCCAACUAAGUCGGACGUGAAAUCCCCAGGCUCAACCUGGGAACUGCGUCUGAUACUGGAUGGCUUGAAUCCGGGAGAGGGAUGCAGAAUUCCAGGUGUAGCGGUGAAAUGCGUAGAUAUCUGGAGGAACACCGGUGGCGAAGGCGGCAUCCUGGACCAACACUGACGCUGAGUGAGCGAAAGCCAGGGGAGCAAACGGG
rnacentral:rRNA from 1 species